GGAUGGGUGGCCGAGCGGCUGAAGGCACCGGUCUUGAAAACCGGCAGGCGGAAACGCCUCGUGGGUUCGAAUCCCACCCCAUCCGCCA
rnacentral:tRNA from 1 species